rnacentral:tRNA from 6 species
GUUUUUGUAGUUGAAAUACAACGGUGGUUUUUCACAUCAUUGGUUGUGGUUAGAGUCCAUGCAGAAGCA